rnacentral:lncRNA from 1 species
GUCGUCCUCUUCUUCCUCGGCCUCAGCCUCGUCUUCCUCAUCCUCAGGCUGGUCGUACUCCUCGAAGUCAUCCAGGUAAUCGUCGAUGUCGAUGAAGUUGUUGUACCUGACAUUCCGGCGACGGAGGCUGCGGCGUCGUUCGGAAGCGGCAGGGGAAAGGCGGAGGCUGCGGCGGCGUUCGGAGGCGGCAGGAGAAGCACCGGAGGCAGCUCGACGGGCUAGAUCUGCCUUGGAUGGCCUUCCUUUCUUCUUCCCCUUCACGAUCUGGCCCAUCUACUGCUUCUCUCUCUAUCUCAAGAGUAUUCUUUCUAAUUUUUUUUUUGUUUGGUUUCCUUGCUUUCCGCUGCUCGCAAUCUUCCCGUCUCGCGUGUGAGUGUGGAUUUUAGUUUCCUCCUCUCUCUCUCUCUCUCUCUCCUCUUUUUUUUUUUUUAAAAGAACGCUCUCCGAUGAGUUAUUUUGUAAAUGAGGUCUUUUGGAGUAAAAUGAUGUAUUAUUUUGAUAUAUGGUAUUUUUGAGGCGCAAAACAUUGGAGAUGUAAAAAUUACUUUGUUUGGCUAACACAAAAAUAAUGAGUUAUGAAUUUUGAAUUGAGUUAUUUGAAAUACCACUUCNNNNNNNNNNNNNNNNNNNNNNNNNNNNNNNNNNNNGUUUUGGUGGCUCCUUUAUUUUUUUUUUUAUUCGAGUGAGGACGAGGAUGUGAGAUGGUUUCUUGCCGAACCUGUAGUUUGAGAGCACCGAGCCUCUAGGUUUGGCGUCCGAAAGGGGUAUUUAAAUGAUUGAUUUUUCCUCUGGUACUCUUUUUCUUUUCCUAAACUUCUUUUUUCUUGGCUUUCCGUGAGAACGCCGUGAGUGAGAGAGACAGACGGCGUCUAGUCCUACCCGUUUGAACAUGGAAACAUUAACAGGGGUUUCAUGCCGAAAGACCUCGUCUAAACGGAGAGUGGGGAAAAAGUAAAAUAAGAGAAUUGAGAAAUGAAAGAUUAUGUAAUUUUAAUUAUAUUGUUUGUUGACAAAGUUUAUAAUUGAGAUAUAAUUUUCAAUUUGUUAGGAAUUAAUUAUGCAAUGACCAUGCUGCCCUUAUUUGAAAUCCAAUUUCAAGACCAAUCAUCUUCUAGUUAGCAAAAAUUCGUUUAAUACUCGUAUAAUACACAUAUACCUACUAUAUGCGUUUAGAACUUCCGUUCUCGUACUAUUGUAGAGCCGUUUAAUUUUAAAAUUUUAAAAUUUUUGCUGAAAUUUAAACGUUGCUGAAAUUUAAACGUAUUGCUAUGUUGAAACAAUGUACAAAACUCUAUCUGUAUUUUCUAAUUGUUGCCGAAAUUUAAACGUACUAUUGUCCCAUACUCGUCCCGUAUUUUACUAACUAUAAAUGAGAACAAACACGAUAAANNNNNNNNNNNNNNNNNNNNNNCAUUAUUUAUAAAAACUCGGAGUUUUGAAGAAAACAUCCUCAACACCAUGUAUUUGAAAAAUGCACAUUUGAGAGGAAAUGUGGGCUCAGAGAAAAAGUGUUUUCGUAGAACACUGGCCAAUUAAAACUAAACAAACAAGUAUUUUUUUAUUACUCUGAAUUUUUACAAUACUCUCCUAAUUUCCUCUAUAUCAAACGAGCCCCAAAUUUGGACAGAGGUUCUAAAAAUGUCGUUAAACUAUAUGAAAUAAAAUUUGGAAGGCUUUCCGGCGAGUUGUACCCAUCACUUCCCCAGGCUCGUUCCUUCCAUAUCCGUUCCACUUCUACAAUCGUCAAACCUUUGGUUUCAGGCACAAACACAACAACGAACCCGACCGCAGCUACAGCUAAAGCCGCGAGGAUGAGGAAAGUGGCAGCAGCCCCCUGAAACACGAGCAAUGGAGAGGAAGCUCUGGGCCACUAUAAAGUUGGAAACCCAGUUGAUAGUUGCUGACAUCCCUCCGCAGAUACUCGUGUGCUUGGGCGGAUAUAUCUCCGAGUUGACAGUCCAUGGUACCGGUCCCAUUCCAGGCGAGAAGGCGGCAAUGUAUAGUGCUAACCCCAUCACAGCCAUCCAUCCAAACAACCUGCUGCUUGAUGCACCGGAGAGGAUUACGAGUGACACGAUCACGCCAGCUAAGCUCGAGAGCGCCAACUUCUUCCUCCCGAAAUGGUCGAUCAGGUAAAUGCCUAGAAUUGAUCCGGCGGCGUUCAUGGCAGCGACUACCAAGGAAAGGACGAGGGGUAGUUGGUUGGAAGAGAAGCCAGCCAUUUGGACUAUGGUGGGGCUAUAGUACAUUACUGUGUUUAUGCCUAUCAACCCCUAGCAUCCACCGCCAGGUUCCUGGAAUCUGUCAAACCAAAACACAUAUAUGCAAGAUGAUAGUUAAUUCCAGAGAGCACUAAUUAACAUGCAGAAAAUGGUCUGCCGCCAUCAAAAUGCAACAAGGACUCAGUAGCUGACCUGGGUAAAGGCGAGAUUUACAAGAUAGGAAAGAAAUUGUCCAGCAGUGAUCAUUAGAACAUUUGUGCUGACUAAACUUCCCCUAACUUCUGACGGAGAUGCUUCGGCGAUAUACAGAGGAGCAGUGACUGAUGCCAUUUCGACACCAAAUCCAACUAAAAGGCGUCCCAGGAUGAGCACGUACGGAUCUGGUGCAGCAGCCAUAACAAUUGAUCCACAAGUGAACACCACAUCAGCAGCAAGCGUAGCUCUCUUGCGUCCGUAUUCAUCAUUAAUCCAUCCUCCGCAUGCCGCUCCUACCAUCGCACCCGCCACCGCCAUGCUAACAAUUGUUUCCUGCAGAAGCCACAUUUAUUAUUAUAAUUAUUAAAGUUACGUUAUAUAUAGAAACCAUAAAUUAUUUUAUUAUUUAAAUUGGCUUUUAUAUGAUUAGUUUUAAGGUUUUUAACGUUAAUAGUUUACAUUAUUUUAGACCAAUUUAAUUAAUUUCUAAUUUAAUUAGUUUCAAUGACUUUCUUUUAUUAAUAUACUUUGUUAGAUAAAGUUGUUUAUGGCUUUUGGAAAAAAUAUAAAGUUGUUUAUUUAUGAUAAAAAUGAUGGAAUGAGUUUAGAUGGGAAUCAUGUUGGGUUCCGACAGCGCUUAGCCAGGUCGAUUAGUCGGAUUUUUGGUAACACAAAUGAUUGGAUUAUACAAGAUACAUAAGUUUGAAUUCGGGUCUACACAAUAUAUAAAUUUGGUAUUUAAAUUUUUUGAGUUAGUCUAGUCCGACUCAGAUUUAAACUAGAGAAAACAUAUAUGAACCAUUAAACUAUCAUUACAGUUUUAUUAUCUUGUAUCAAUAUUAUAAUUUUAAUGAAUGGCUCUUUAAUUUAACAAGAAGGUGAAAGAGAUAUAAAGAACGAUAAUUAACAAGGUAUUGUAGUACUAUUGUUAUAUAAAAUAUAAUUUUAAAAUAAUGCAUGUGUAUUAAUAUGUUUGCCAUACACACAUUAAGUAGCCAGACACAAUCUAUAUAUUUUAGUAAUUAUUAAUCGGAAAACCUUUAUUAAAUAGGACUAGGUGUCCAGGUUAGACCUAAACUUGUAAAAUAUCGUGUUUCGGAUUUUUUAUAUCGUUAAACUUGUACAUACAAGUCAACUAACGGAUCAACGACAUCUCGCCCAUCAUAAUAUAAUUAAGCCCCACAUUAAUAUGAUCUUAUCGUUCUUUAAACCAACAGACAGGCCCUGAGAUAACACCUGCAACAACACAAACAAUCACUCUUAAUUAGGGAUUUAAUUACAUAGGGGAUGGCAGUUAGUUACCUGUAUCGUAGCCAAAAGAAGACCGCUGAUUCCAGCAAUGAGACUUCUGGCUGCUGCCUGCUCAUCGAUCUCAUCAUCAGCCAACAUAUCAACACCAAUGGAGUGUUCCUGAAGCGAAAUUUAAAGUUUCCUUCAACAAUUUGUUUAUAAUAAUGAAAGGAUGAUUUGUUACAAGAAGGUCGGAUUUGACCAUCCUCGAACUUGUCUCGUUAAAUUUUAGUCGAGUUUGAGUAUGAAUUCGAGUUAGAAAAUUUUGGCUUGUGUAGAGCUCGAGCCUGACUCGUUAACUAUCAUUGACGAGCCAAACGUGAGCUCAACUCAAACUUCAUUCAUUAAAACUCAUGAUGAGAGUUUUUCCAAUUUAAGUUGAAUUUGAAGCUUGUACGGUAAACAACACCGACAAGUCAAGUUAGAAAACAAACCAUCAGAAAAUCUAUAAGUUCCUAUAUGUGUAUGUUAUUUGAGUCAAGACACAUGUUAUAUUACUUAGUCCACUGACGAGCCAUAUUAUCGAGUUAGUAUUUGAGUUGGCUCUCGAGCUCAAGCACGUUGGCUCGCGAGUUGAGCUCGAGAGCCGAACAUGCCUUAAUUCAGAUUUGGCUUGUUUAAAAUUAAGAUGAGUCAUGAACGAAUUUUUUUCGAGGCAAACACCAAACUACUUUCAAGCAACUUGGUCAAUCACGAGCUUACUUUAUUAGUGGGGUAGUGGCAUAAUAGGCUCUGGAAUAUAUAUCAGAAAAUACGAGAAAAACAAAAUUAUGUGUGUGUUAAGUAUUUCGGAUUCGAAUUCAAUAAGUUGCAAAAUUUGAAAUAAUUAAUUCGAAUCCAGUAAGAAGCAAAAUUUGAAAAAUAUUAUUUCAUCCCUCAUCUCCCUCUCAUUCUCCCUCUGUUAAUAAAAUAUAUACUGUUGCUUCCCUCCCUGUAAAAAACAUUUUGCUUCACAGCUAUAACAAUGGCUGCAGUUGCGCCACUAACCAACUGUUACCCUCUAGCUCUGCCAUACUAUACACUUGUCGUUGGCAAUGGAGUCGCCGCCUUCUUUUGUCACCAAAACAAGGACCGCCUUCUAUUCUCUGCUGCAGGGAGCUGCUCCAGCCGAUCGCCUUUUCACCGAUUUCAAAUCAGGUGGUUCUCCUUCCCAUUUUCUUCCUACCCCUUGCUUGUUUUCCGCUUCUAUUUCAAUGCCAUCCCUUUUCUAAUUUUUUUUUUACGUUUUCUCUAUUUUCAGUCUCACUCGAUUUUUCUCUUCCUUUCCUUUGACCUUCUAAUCUUCUAUUUUGUUUUGUGUUUCUCUCCUCUUCAAUUUUCAUUCUGAUCGUCUCUCAAAUUCUUUGGAUAAUCUUUUCGGAUUCCCCUUUUUUAAUUUUCAAUGUCGGCGUUUCCGUCGGAGUAGAAGCUGACAACAAGCAAUCGCCGAGGGAACAACGGGCUCACCUGCGGAUUAUUCACUCUCCCAAGAACGUAAUUGACUCCAAGGUAUCUGCCAGAGAAGAACUUCCCGCUUAAUAUCUUCUUCUUUUUUUUGUAAUUUUUUCCCGUUGAAUAAUGGAUGUUCAGUUGCAAGCACGUUAAUGAUUGAAUUGUUUGCCGGCGAUGAACUUCCGAAUUGUAAUUUUCUGUUGAGGUAAUUGGAGGAGAAUGUGGGUAGGCGGGAGGGUUUCGUUUAUUUUGUCCUCCGUUGCUCAGCAGUCGAGCAAAUUAGUUAUGGUUCUGUUUGUAAUGAGUUCAAUUUGAGGGGAAUAGCUUUGUUAAAAAGGUUGAUGAAUUUUGUUGAUGCAGAACAAUAUCGAAGCGAGGUGGAAGCCAGAACGACCUAUAGGAAUAAAGCGAGAUUGAUUCAGAACUAUUACACUAGGGGAAAAAGGAGGUGAAGGCUAGAAGGAACUAGUUUAUGAUUCAACAAUGGCUCUCGCAUUUUAUGACGAAAAUUUGUACAUACUGAACAAGAAAAAUGAUGCCGAGAUCAAGGUCAGAUACUUGGCUCCUUAAUUUUCGCUUCUUUUUCUUUCUUCCUGGCCCUUCUUCCUUGUUUUUGUGCUCAACUUUAUCCUGUAAUCCGCAUUGUGUUCCUUCGGGGUUGGGAAGUAUGUGGAGUUGUAUGUACUUUCAUUUCAAAUUGCCAAUGUACCAGUUCUCGCAACUUCAAGUGUGUUGAUGAAUGAAUGAAUGAAUGAGCUAACGACGGCUAUUGUCAAUUAUAGGCUUCACAAGUACCUUAUAUAGCAGAAAGAUUAUCUGCCACUAGUUCAGACAGCAUUCCUCCGGCAUCUGUCAUGAAGCAAUUAGCUAGCGCUAUUGAGUAAGACUCUGCUGUCCUUGUUUUUUUCAGAAGGGUCCAUUGUCUUUCAUUUCCUCACUAUCUGACUAUAUGUAUUUAUGCUGUGAACCGCAAGAAAAUUCUUAUUACGGCAUACUUUUACGAAUGAACAGUCUUUUGUAUUUGCUAAUGUUUUACUUGUCUGCGCUAUUUUCUAGCACGGGGAAGAAGUACAAGUCAAUAAAAGAUCUUCUGGUGGUCUCUUCUGGAAGUUCAUCACCAAUCAAGGAGAGGACAGGCUUAAGCCUUGCUGCUGUAAAGUCAUUUGUACUUCGUGACAAGGAUGAUAAGCUUGCAUCUGAAUUUGAGAACCACGAGAAACUUCUGUUCAUCAUGCAGUCAUUGUUCAGUGCAGGUACAUUGAUAAUUUUCUACCUUAAAUUGCUCUUAUUUGCAUUUUAGUAUCUGCUUCAAAGUUUGUUUUCGUCGUUAUUUUCUUUGGUCUAUCCUGUGAUGAUCUUUCACUUUCGUUGUAAUAUCUGCAAGAUAUUCGCAGAGGGGGACUUUCUCAGGAGGAACGCUUGCUGUAGCAUGGAGUCAUCAACACUGAUUAAAGACAUUCAUGGUGCACCUCCAGACAGCCUCCUUGUAAAGCUAUCUGAAGUAAUUGGAAGCUUUAAAUCAUUGCAGAAUAUGGCCACUUUUUGGUUCAAAAUUGUUGCUGAAGUAAGUGACUCUGUAGAUUAUGAAAAGCUUAUGGCAGUAGUGAGAUUGACAAAGGAAAACCCAAGGAGAUUUACAAAAACAUGUCUGCCUUCCAACUUUAUGAUAUUACGUUCAGAAUGCCUGUCUCGAGUUUACUGGAUAUGGGAAAUCCUGUAUAAUUUUUCAAUUUCCUUGUCUUACAGAAAUUUUCAAUAAACGUUCCUGAUUUACUUGCUGGUUAUAAUGGCAAAAAUCAAUCCAACAGCAGACCUUUUGGUUUUUAAGACUUCCUAUAAAAUUACUAGUGCUGCUAGUUUAAAUGGUGAAGCUUAUCCAAAUGGAAAACCAAUAGGGAUCUUGUCUGCAUCUAAUUUUAAAAUCUGAAACUAGAGUAUGAUGAUACUUCACUAUGAUCGUAAGCAGUUCAGCUAAUGCAUGUUUCCAAUCACACUUGCAGCUGAGAAGGCUCUGGUCCGAAGAACUCCAUGUGCCUGGCAUCCCUCUGGAUGAGCUUCCAGAUCUUCAUUCGUGCCUUCUAUACCAGCAGUUACAGGUUAUCAACUGCUGUGUUUCGAGGAAAAAGCGCCAUGCGCUUGCUUCUGAAUCACUGGAAGUUAUAUUAAAGGAUGCGAGUGUAAUUUCUGAAGAAUCUUCUAAAGGUGUAAAUGUCCCCGGUCAUUUAUUAUAUGCCAGAACGAGUAGUGGAGAACUUGUUCUUCGCUUAGGUGCAGAUUCUAAGACUCCUAACCUGCUCAUGUUGGAAACUGGUGAACCAAUAUUCUCUCCUGUCCCUCAGGUAUGGUUGGUUACUUUAUCUAAUAGGUCUCUGUUUGUAGAACCAUGAUUUUUAUUUUUAUCUGGGGUGUCGGUUUACGUAGGAGCCGCCUUUGCUUACCGAAGAUGUUAUAAAAGAAAAUGAAGAAUUUAUUCUCCAAACUGGGAGGUGUGUGUCAUUUUCCCUUCUUCCUCCUUUAGUAAUUUAAAGCAGUUUGUUACGAUGAGAGGUGGAAGAGGAAAUAUAAAAAAGGCUUUCUAAGGCUUUUUUCCAUUGUUGAAUGAAUGGUUUUAUUCUUGAUUGCCUUCUACAUCAUUUUGUUUGUUCUGCAACCUAUUUUCAGUUAGCAAGAUAAUAGAUGCACUGAGUUGUCUUCAUAACAAACUGCUUGCUUUUGGACUUAUGGGAUUUAGAUUUCAAUCUCCCAACUAGUUUAAGCAUCUAUUAAAUUUUUUAUCUUUGUGGCCAGUGUUGGUGCAGGGUGUUCUCAGCUACUCUCUGACAUGCAAGGUUUCAAGGUAGGCCCAGGGAAUUAGGAAAAAGAUGUAGUUCAUCUUGUUGUCUUUCAUAGAUGUAACUUACUCGUAACUAUGUUUCGUUCCAUGUUAGGCUGCCAAUCCUGGGUGCAUAUUAGAAGAUUUUGUGAGAUGGCAUUCUCCUCCUGACUGGACAAGCAGUGAAGAAACUGACGAGGCUAACGAGUCUUCUUCAGCUAGAGACGCUUCACCUUCAACAAGAGGUUAUCUAAGUAGCCGAAUGCAGAAAGAAGGUAUGUCCUUUCAAAAACACCUGUUCUGUGAUUCCUGGGUGUUUCUAGCUAUGUGAUGUUCUACCUAGUAAUUCUUCUUCGAAUGGAAAGAUGAAGCUAAUAUUUCACGAAGUGCUGAUUUUUGAGCAUUCGUUAAGAGUCAAUAAUAUGUGAAGUGGAAGGCUCAUUCGUAACUAUCCGUGUGAUCAUGAUAGGAAACUUGUGGCGUGAACUAUGGGAAACGUCUAAGCCAAUACCAGCGGUUAAACAAGCUCCCCUUUUUGACGAGGAUUUGGCUGUGUAAGUUUGAAAUUAAGCCUUUUAUUUUCCUUUCUGCUUAAAUUUACACACUACUUACAAAUGCAGCAUGUAUAUGGCUGGUUGGAGUGAGGGUAUUUUGAAUCACAUGGAGAACAUCAACCCAUCCAUACUUUUUGAACAGUUCUUCAUUUCGCUAGUAAGGCUCAGAUACUUUUUCUUGUCAAUCUUUUCUGGUUUGAUAAAAUAUUGAACUAACAAUUAAAUCUCUAUUCGGACAAGUUCAGCUCUGUCUGGCAACUCUAAUGGCGGAGGCAAAACUUUCUAGCAACGAUGAUUUAUCAAAGCUGUUUUACGAGUGUAAAGAUUACAUUGUUGUCACGUGCCAAGGAAUCCCAUGGAGUGAUAAAAAGGACGACCUUUGUCAUGUAAGUUGCUGUUCACGAAUUUAGCUCGGAAAUUUUUAGGUGAUUUUGACCUCGACCUCAAGCAAAAAAAAUUUAGCUCGUGUCGACCUCGAGCCUAUUUGAGCUUGGCUCGUUAACUAACCUUGACGAGCCAGACUCGAGUUAAACUCGAACUUUGUUGAUUAAAACCCAUUGAUCAGUCCAAUUCGAGCUGAAUUGGAAGUUUGUACACUAAUAAGAAACAUCGACGAGUCAAAACUAAAAAACAAGUUAUCUUAAAGUUUACAUGUUUCUACUUUUCUGAAUUAAAAUAGGUGCACCUAAACAAUGUAUCACUUACAUUUUGGUUAGCAUAAUCACAAAUUACAUAUGAUUUAUUGUAUAUAUAGUAUUCGAGGCAAGCACACGUUGCAUUAUUCAGUCUACUAAUGAGCCAUAUACUCGAGCUAGUAUUCGAGUUGGCUCUCGAGCUUGAGCUCAAGAUCGAGUCUAACAUUCUCUGGCUCAAGCUUAACGGGCUGUUUUUUUCGAGCCGAAUGUUGAGCUACUCUCGAGCGGGUUGGCUCAUCAUUAUGAGUGAGUACAUGGUCAUGUAUGAAAUGAUUGCGAUUGAGUAUGUUAUCCGGCGCAGGUUUACGAGACAAUGGAGACUAUGUUACUGAACCCCAACGAAGUUGUCAAGACAAUAAAGCUUGCCGAUGACGCCACCACAUCUGGGUCUGAAACCAAGCACACCAGCUUCCUGAAACUGGGUAUAAAGUUCGGCAGGAAGAAGAGAAAACCAUUGCCAAGAUGCGAAAGCGGCGGCUCUUCGGAGGAAAGCCCCACGAUACAGCAGCAGCAGCCUUUCUCGAAUGAUUUCUUCGAGGGAAAGUCGCCAAUGUUCUCGAAGAACAAGCCUCCUAAGCCAGGGACUGCAUCACCCGAAAAGACUCCUCCCAACGAGGAUAGUGACUGGACACUCGUUUAAUAGCAGCAGCAGCAGCAGCAAGGAAACCGCAUCUAACAGGCAGUUUGUAAUUAAUUAUGUGACACACUACUUUCUCUUUAGAAAUCACCAAAGGGAUUGAAGGGAUCAUACAGUGGUCCCUUCUGUUUUCUAGUUUGUGAGAUUUUUCGCCUGUACAUACUCCCUUUUGACCUGAAUUUGUAUGAGAAAAAAGAAGAAGAAAACAGAUGUUUGUGUGUGAAUUCUUAAUAAUAAAUUAUAUUGGAACGCAUUCUCAAGUUAUUACUGGGUUGUUUGGAUGAGUUAUUUUGUAAAUGAGGUCUUUUGGAGUAAAAUGAUGUAUUAUUUUGAUAUAUGGUAUUUUUGAGGCGCAAAACAUUGGAGAUGUAAAAAUUACUUUGUUUGGCUAACACAAAAAUAAUGAGUUAUGAAUUUUGAAUUGAGUUAUUUGAAAUACCACUUCCACAANNNNNNNNNNNNNNNNNNNNNNNNNNNNNNNNNNNNNNNNNNNNNNNNNNNNNNNNNNNNNNNNNNNNNNNNNNNNNNNNNNNNNNNNNNNNNNNNNNNNNNNNNNNNNNNNNNNNNNNNNNNNNAAUGUAACAAAUGUCAUUUAAGAGGAUUCGAUUCCAAGAAAAUAACAGUGGAUUACAAGAAUUUUGUUUGCGCACUUUUUUGUUCAAUCCGGGUAUCAUAUUAGUGAUGUAAUCCAUCAAAUUAUAACAAACAAAGUUAAACAGAAUCAUCAACACAAGAGUGGAAAGGCUGAUUCAGAAGGCUGAUUCGAAUUAACUCAUGGAAAAUUAUGUUUCUUUCUCUCUUAAUUCACUUAAUCUUACUUGUUUUCUUAAUCAAACUAUGGAUUUGUAAGUAUACUAAUGACUAGCAUUUUCUAUCUAAAAGUAUAGAAAUAAUUGUUAUAGUUAACAUUAUUUUUAAAGGGUCUAUAAAAAAACUCUAAUUUUUUCCCUAACGAUAUUAGGCAACCAAACACGUAUCAAUCAUAAUCCAUCUUAAAUUAAGACUUUUAAUUUGAAUAAUUCCAUAUUAUAAAAAUGUGACAUUAUAUGACCUAAUCCGACAAAAUCACUAAUUAAUAUUUGUCUCUAACAAAACACACUAAUUAAUAUUUAAUAUGGAUAACCCCAUGGUAUUAAAUUCUAACCAUUUUGAAUUAAUCCAAAGUAAACUUCCUUUUUCUACGUUGCCUCAGUUUUUUUUACAUCCCAAAACAAAUUCCCUGGUUCCUCCUCGACGUCACAAAACAAUUGCGACGUAGGCCACGUAAUUCAGCAUCCAGCUUCGCUGCUUUGACCCGAAUUCCCCACCACCUUCCUUUUUCCGAGCCCGAAUUCAAUUCCCCCCCACCAUUUUCCUUUUUCAUUCUCCUCGCUCUCCCUUUCUCUCUCUCUCUGCGCCAUAAGGGGAAACCCUACCUCCGACCUCCAUCAAUCUCGUUUGUGCUACCCUCAGUUUUCCCCGUCCAAAAGGCUUGCCGCCACGUUGGCGCCAAUCAGGUCAGAUCCCUUCCCCUGCAUUCGCGAAUCUUUCUUUUGAUGAUUAUUCUUGGUUGCGUGAGUUUGUUUGCUUCUGAAAUUGCAUUUUUGUUUGUGGAUUGUGCUUUGAGGAAUUUUGUUUCAAGAGCCUGUUUGUUUCUUAUUUUAUUGUCAUAGCAGAGAUCGAAGCAAUGAUGAUCGGCGUUCUCAGGAGGAGACUUGCUACGUGCAGUUCCUCUUCUUCUUCGGUUAGAACACUCGAUUUUUUCCCUUUUUGUCAUUAGUCAGAUCGAUUUGGCUUCCAUAUAUCUUGUCAGUCCCUUUCCGGCGAUUCCUCGAUUUGGAGCAACUAACUGUUUGAUGGAGUUUGACUUUUCUGUAAUUCGUGUUAGAUAUUGAAGCAGUCUCUGCAGAAUCUUCGACCUGCAGCUGCCUCUGCUGCAGAGACUGAGGUAAUAUGCCUCGUUGUUCUUCGUUACUUCUUUACUGAUUAAUUCUCGGGAAACAAUUAUUUGUUCCCUUUACUCUGAGUUCAUGGCCACCUUCUAUUGUUCUUCGCUGGAUGAAUGAUCAGUUUUAAUUGUUAAAAUGAGGGAACUAGAUACCAUAUGAGGAUGUAGUUAGGAGUUACUUCAUCCGUUAUUGAAAUUUGUGAUUGUGACUUAUAAACACUACUCUCAUAAGUGUUUAAUGUUUAAUAUUUCAACAGGUUUUGCUUAAUCGAAAACGACUUACACAUGUCCGGAACUAUAGUCGCCUUGUCUUGCCAGGUGAUAAUUAGGCAAGUUUGCACUUGAUUGUUUGGUACUCUCAUGGAUGCUAAUGUGAUCAUCUUUUGGUUGUUACAGGUUCCAUUGUUUGUUCGACACCCAAAAGGUUAGAGGCAUCAAUCCUAUUUCUGCCUCAAAUUUAAUAUCCAGUGCUUUCGUACAAUCAUACAGUCUGAAUAGUGGAUACGUUGUAGAAAGUGUGAAACGACAUUAUUUCAUAAAUCAAUUUCAUGACAUAAAAUGUAUGUUGGGCUGUUCCAUACUUCUGUUCGUUGAUUCCUUCUUUUCUCUACGGUCCCAACCUGUUUGCUGCACUUUUAUGUAACUGCAUAAAAUGUGUGUCGGAGUGUGCACGAGUGCGCAUGCAUAUGGAUAUGUAUUUAUAUGUUUAUGCCCGGUGGAGAUCAUUAUUUAUUUCCUUCCGGAAUAUGUUACACCAGCACUAUCAUAAGUGCCUAAUUAUGAUAUAGGCAAACACAUGAGAUGGAUCAUUCUGAAAUUUGAAAUGUAAGGAAAUGCUAGUGGAUUGAUACUGCCUCUGUUUAAUGCAAAAUGGUUCAGAGCUAUAUGGUGGGCUCGUAAUAAUGUGUAUUCUGAGCUUCCCUUCAGUGUUAUUCUAGCCUGUACUUGGAGGAUAAUUUUUCUGAGUUGCGUUAUAUUCUAAGCAGGGGUGUUAAUUUAAGCACUGAACUGAUGACCUCUAAGCAAGUUUGGACCAGGGGAUUUUCUUCUGAUAGUGGUAUGAACUUAUACUCCAUUUCUAUUUUAUUGCCAUCUGUUUAUGCAUGCAUUAAUGUCAUAUUCAGAUUGUACUGUCCUUGACAUGGUUGUCAUGUAUUCUAGCAUCUGUUGACCACCAAAAUCAUCUAUCCAUACAUGCGUUAUUAUGCGGGUCCGUUUUUCACCCAUGCAUUGAUGCUGUCAACGUUGGAUUUUCGAAAGUUGCUAAAGAUUUAAAGUAUAUUCAAUAAGUAUUACUACUUGCAUUAGGUUGUGUAAUUUUGUUUGUCUAUAUUUCUAGCAACAGUAAUUGGCCCUGAAGACUUGCAGGAUAGUGAUACCUAAAGAUAGUCAUUAUCUUCGUACAUCCUCAGCUAAGCUUAGAAGUUAUAAUUAUCCGAGAUUGCCUGACAUUAUAUUAUUCUUUCAAUCAUGCAGAAGAUUUGGCUCAUGCUGUUGUACCUUUCAUGGGUGAAUCCAUUACUGACGGCACUCUAGCUACAUUCCUAAAGAGUAAGUUCUCUUAGAGCGAUGUUGUCAUUAUGGUUGGAAUUCUUUUUAAAUGAGACUGUUUCUAAUUUCUUGUGCAUUUGUUGUUUGCAGAACCUGGUGACAGGGUUGAAGUUGAUGAGCCUAUUGCACAAAUUGAGACAGAUAAGGUACUACAUGCAGGCCGUUAUUCAUUUUUUCCUCUUGAUCACAAGUUAAUCUUCCACUAGAAUGCUGAUAACAUCCAUCCUUGCCCAGGUGACAAUUGAUGUUGCUAGUCCAGAAGCAGGUGUGAUAAAAGAGGUGAUAAAUCUUUGUGUAGAACACUGGCUGAUCAUGCAACAUUCUGUCAGCUGAUUUAGACUACAAUAAUAAUGUUAAUUUUCUUCCUGAAUAUUUGCAGUUUGUAGCCAAAGAAGGAGACACACUCUUGAUCAGAAGUAAAACUUCCACCGGAAUGCUGAUAAUAUCCAUCCUUGCCCAGGUGACAAUUGAUGUUGCUAGUCCAGAAGCAGGUGUGAUAAAAGAGGUGAUACAUCUUUGUGUAGAACACUUGUUGAUCAUGCAACAUUCUGUUAGAUGAUUUAGACUACCAAAAUAGUGUUAAUUUUCUGUCUGAAUAUUUGCAGUUUGUAGCCAAAGAAGGAGACACUGUGGAGCCAGGAACAAUGGUUGCUAUCAUUUCGAAGUCUGGGGAAGGGGUAUCUCAUGUUGCUCCAUCUGAAAAAUUACCAGAGACUGCUGCGCCUAAGCCAUCUGAAAAGAAAGAGGAGGUAAAACAAACAUCAAAACCUGAGGCUUCUCCUGUUACAGAGAAGCCCAAGAAAUCAACAUCAGCUGCAUCACCUCCGAGACAAGCUGCUACAGAGCCUCAACUUCCUCCCAAGGAUAGAGAAAGACGAGUAAGUUCUUUACUGUUGGUCUUCUUUUAUCAAUUUUUUUGUUGACGGAAUCUGAAAUGGCAUAUUAUAUGUGCUCCGGCCUAGCUAAACCCGAGUCUUCUCCUAGUACAGAGAAGCCUAAGAAAUCAACAUCAGCUGCAUCACCACCUAGACAGGCUGCUACAGAGCCUCAGCUUCCUCCCAAGGAUAGAGAAAGACGAGUAAGUUCUUUACUGUUGGUCUUCUUUUAUCAAUUUUUUUGUUGACGGAAUCUGAAAUGGCAUAUUAUAUGUGCUCCGGCCUGAUUCUUUUUUUUCUCACGUUUUGGCAGGUUCCUAUGACCAGACUUCGCAAAAGAGUUGCUACUCGGUUGAAGGACUCGCAGAACACAUUUGCCCUGCUGACAACAUUCAAUGAAGUUGAUAUGUGAGUCGGUUUAGCUCCCUUAACUUGAUUGAGCCUUUUCUUUUUGUUCAAUAAAGUGAUGCUAGGCUGGAGAUAAUAAUGGAACUCCAGCAUGGUGUGAAGUUGGGACUUAUGUCUGGUUUUAUCAAGGUAAGAAUAUGGUCUGUCUUUACAAACAUAUUUGCCACAACGUGUUUCUGUUUCUCACACUUGUUGUUUUUGCUGAGUUAUUUCAGGCAGCUGUCUCUGCGCUCCAGCAGCAGCCUGUUAUAAAUGCCGUGAUCGAUGGGGAUGAUAUUAUAUAUAGGGAUUACAUAGACAUUAGUAUAGCAGUUGGAACUCCAAAGGUUUGUCCUCAUCUUUUUAUUCAACGGUUUGUUCUGCAUAUCUCAGUCUGAACAUAUUGGCAGAAUUGACUGUAAAUUUAGUCGUCAGUGGUUGAUGCCAGCAAUGGCAGGCUGGUUUGCUGUUGGCAGAUAUAUUUGUAUUUAUUGAUCCUGUCUCUUUCUUGCAGGGACUUGUUGUGCCUGUAAUUCGCAAUGCUGAGAAGAUGAAUUUUGCAGAUAUUGAGAAGGAGAUCAACACCCUUGCUAAGAAGGCUAAUGAUGGGACUAUUUCAAUAGAUGAGAUGGCAGGAGGUUCAUUUACGAUAUCGAACGGUGGUGUCUAUGGAAGCCUUUUAAGUACUCCGAUCAUCAACCCUCCUCAGGUUUGACUAGUAUUUUCUUUGUUAACUUGGAGAUAUUGCCUAGCAAGUAAAGCUUUUGAUGUUUGGUAUCUCGGUUUGGCAGUCUGCGAUAUUGGGAAUGCACUCAAUAGUGAGCCGGCCAAUGGUAGUUGGAGGCAACGUGGUGCCAAGGCCAAUGAUGUACAUUGCUCUGACCUAUGACCAUAGGCUGAUUGAUGGGAGAGAGGCUGUUUUCUUCCUGCGCCGAAUCAAGGAUGUCGUCGAGGAUCCUCGCAGACUGCUUCUUGAUGUUUGAGAAGCAAAACUCAGAUUUCAAUUUUGGUGUUCUUUAAGGAGAAGAAGAGUCCUAAGUUGUGCGCUCUUAGAAUGUACGGUUGCUUUUUGUUAGACAAGAAUAAGCAUCAGUCUCAUAUUCGAAUCAAUUCUUAAAUAAAUAAAAAAUAUUGAAACGCAUUCUCAAGUUACUACAGGUUUCAAAAUGUAAUAACUGUAAUUUGAGAGGAUUCUGUUUCAAAAAACUUACUGUAAUUUGAGAGGGUUAUUUUUUGUCGUUGUGCCUUGUUUCGAUCUGCGUCUUAUAUUCCGGAACAAAGUGAUGUUAGACCACGUGAUCGAGUUAAUUCACAUGCAAAAAGAUCUGACGAACGUGUCAUUACAAGAGAUAAAAAAGAAAGGGUAACUCAUGGAUAACAUUAUGUUUUUAAGGUCUGACAACAUUUAGGACUUGUAAUUUGAAUAAUUCCAUAUUAUAUAUAGGACAUGUUUCGAUUAAAAGUGAUCGAAAUCAAACUAAUAUUUGUCUCUAACUAAUUAAUAUUUUAAUAAUCUAUCGUAUUAAUUUUCGAGUUUCUAACCUAUAGCCCUAACUAAUUCGUGUUAAUUCUAACUGAAGUUCCUUUUUCUACGUUGCCUCAACUUUUUUACAUCCCAAAACAAAAUUCGCUCAUAAUAUCAUAGACAGUAACAAGUAGGCCACGUUAGCUGUUCAAAUCCAGCUUCGAUGCUUUGACCCGAAUUCCCCAGCACCUUCCUUCCCUUUUCCGAGCCCGAAUUCCCCCCCACCGUUUUCCCUCUUCAUUCUCUUUCUCUCUCUGCAACACAAGGGGAAACCCUACUUCCGUCCUCCAUCAAUCUCGGUUGUGCUACUCUCAGUUUUUGCCCCGUCCAAAAGGCUGGCCGCCACGUCGGCGCCAAUCAGGUCAGAGAGCCCUUCCCCUGCAUUCGCGUAUCUUUCUUUUCAUCUGGUUAUGUCAUGGAUUUUAUCGGUUGCGUGAGUUUGUUUGCUUCUGAAAUUGCAUUUUUGUCUGCUCUGUGGCUAGAUUGUGCUUUAUUUCAAGGGCCUGUUUGUUUCUUAUUUGAUUGUCAAAGCAGAGAUCGAAGCAAUAAUGUUCGGCGUUCUCAGGAGGAGACUUGCUACCGGCAGUUUCUCUUCUUCUUCGGUUAGAACAUUCGAUUUUUUUUUCCUUUCCUCAUAAUUCAGAUCGAUUUGGUUUCCAUAUAUCUUGUCAGUUCCUUUCCGGCGAUUCCUCGAUUUGGAGUGUCUGUUUGAUGGAGUUUGACUUUUCUGUAAUUCGUGUUAGAUAUUGAAGCAGUCUCUGCAGAAUCUUCGACCUGCAGCUGCCUCUGCUGCAGACACUGAGGUAAUUGUUGGUUCUGGACAAUUUUCCUUUUCCUUUGUUCUUCGUUACUUCUUGAUAGAUUAAAUUUAGGGAGACAAUUUAUGUGUUCCCUUUACUCGAGUUCAUAGUCACCUUCUAUUGUUCUUCGCUGUAUGAAUGAUCAGUUUUAAUCCUUAAAACAAGGGGAACUGGAUACCAUAUGAGGACGUGGUUAGGAGUUACCUCAAUCGUUAUUAAAAAUAUGUGAUUUGUGGCUUAUAAACACUACAUUCAUAAGUGUUUAAUGUUUAAUAUUUCAACAGGUUUUGCUUAAUCCAAAACGACUUACACAUGUCCACAACUAUAGUCGCCCUGUCUUGCCAGGUGAUAAGUGGGCAAGUUUGCGCUUCAUUGUUGGUACUCUCAUGGAUGCUAAUGUGAGAAUCUUUUGUUGUUACAGGUUCCGUUGUUUGUUCGACACCCAAAAGGUUAGAGGCAUCGAUCCUAUUUCUGCCUCAAAUACAGUCUGAAUACGUUAGGUCGUAGCAAGUGUAAAACAAUAUUAUUUCUUGAAUCAUGAAUCAAUUUCACGACAUAAAAUGUAUGUUGGGAUUUCUAUACUUCUCUUCGUCGACUCCUUUUCCGUAGGGUCUCGUGUUGUAUUGCUGCACUUUCAUGUAACUGCAUAAAAUGUGUAAGCGAGUGCGCAUAGGAAAAUGUAUUUUUGUGCCUGGUGCAGACAUUAUUUAUUCCCUUCCGGAGUAUGUUACCCUAGCAUUAUCAUAAGUGCCUAAUUAUGAUAUAGGCAAACACAUGAAAUGGAUCAUUCUAAAAAAUGUAAGGAGAUGAUAUGUCCUCUGUUCAAUGCAAAGUGGUUCAGGAAUAGCAGAGUUAUAUGGUGGGCUAAUAGUAACAUGUAUUCUGAGCCCCUUUCAGUGUUAUUCUAGCCUGUUCUUGGAGGAUAAAUUUUCUGAGUUGAGUUAUGUUUUAAACAGGGGUGUUAACUUAAGCACUGAACUGAUAACCUCUAAGCAAACUUGGACCAGGGGAUUUUCUUCGGAUAGUGGUAUGAACUUGACAUUCCUUUUGUAACUUCUUGCCAUCUGUUUAUGCAUGCAUUAAUGUCAUAUUCAGAUUGUACUGUACUUGACUCGUAGGACAUGAUUGUCAUGUAUUCUAGCAUCUAUUGAGAACCAAAAUGCGCUAUCCAUACAUUUGUUAUUACGUCGGUCCUUUUUUUUUCGUUGCGAUAAAUAUGCUUUAAUGCUGUCAACNNNNNNNNNNNNNNNNNNNNNNNNNNNNNNNNNNNNNNNNNNNNNNNNNNNNNNNNNNNNNNNNNNNNNNNNNNNNNNNNNNNNNNNNNNNNNNNNNNNNNNNNNNNNNNNNNNNNNNNNNNNNNNNNNNNNNNNNNNNNNNNNNNNNNNNNNNNNNNNNNNNNNNNNNNNNNNNNNNNNNNNNNNNNNNNNNNNNNNNNNNNNNNNNNNNNNNNNNNNNNNNNNNNNNNNNNNNNNNNNNNNNNNNNNNNNNNNNNNNNNNNNNNNNNNNNNNNNNNNNNNNNNNNNNNNNNNNNNNNNNNNNNNNNNNNNNNNNNNNNNNNNNNNNNNNNNNNNNNNNNNNNNNNNNNNNNNNNNNNNNNNNNNNNNNNNNNNNNNNNNNNNNNNNNNNNNNNNNNNNNNNNNNNNNNNNNNNNNNNNNNNNNNNNNNNNNNNNNNNNNNNNNNNNNNNNNNNNNNNNNNNNNNNNNNNNNNNNNNNNNNNNNNNNNNNNNNNNNNNNNNNNNNNNNNNNNNNNNNNNNNNNNNNNNNNNNNNNNNNNNNNNNNNNNNNNNNNNNNNNNNNNNNNNNNNNNNNNNNNNNNNNNNNNNNNNNNNNNNNNNNNNNNNNNNNNNNNNNNNNNNNNNNNNNNNNNNNNNNNNNNNNNNNNNNNNNNNNNNNNNNNNNNNNNNNNNNNNNNNNNNNNNNNNNNNNNNNNNNNNNNNNNNNNNNNNNNNNNNNNNNNNNNNNNNNNNNNNNNNNNNNNNNNNNNNNNNNNNNNNNNNNNNNNNNNNNNNNNNNNNNNNNNNNNNNNNNNNNNNNNNNNNNNNNNNNNNNNNNNNNNNNNNNNNNNNNNNNNNNNNNNNNNNNNNNNNNNNNNNNNNNNNNNNNNNNNNNNNNNNNNNNNNNNNNNNNNNNNNNNNNNNNNNNNNNNNNNNNNNNNNNNNNNNNNNNNNNNNNNNNNNNNNNNNNNNNNNNNNNNNNNNNNNNNNNNNNNNNNNNNNNNNNNNNNNNNNNNNNNNNNNNNNNNNNNNNNNNNNNNNNNNNNNNNNNNNNNNNNNNNNNNNNNNNNNNNNNNNNNNNNNNNNNGUUUUGGCAGGUUCCUAUGACCAGACUUCGCAAAAGAGUUGCUACACGGUUGAAGGACUCGCAGAACACAUUUGCCUUGCUGACAACAUUUAAUGAAGUUGAUAUGUGAGUCGGUUUAGCUCCCUUAACAUGAUUGAGCCUUUUCUUUUUGUUCAAUAAACUGAUGCUAGGCUGGAGAUUAUAAUUGACGCAAACUCCACAAGUUCCACAGCACACACUGUUAAGGUUUUAUUCUUAUUGUAGGACCAAUUUGAUGAAGCUUCGUUCCGAAUACAAGGAUGCUUUUGUUGAAAAGCAUGGUGUGAAGUUGGGACUUAUGUCUGGUUUUAUCAAGGCAAGAAUAUGGUCUUUCUUUACAAACAUAUUUACCACAACAUAUUUCUGUUUCUUACACAUUGUUUUUAUUGCUGAAAUAUUUCAGGCAGCUGUCUCUGGGCUCCAGCAGCAGCCUGUUGUAAAUGCAGUGAUCGAUGGGGAUGAUAUUAUAUAUAGGGAUUACAUAGACAUUAGUAUAGCAGUUGGAACUCCAAAGGUUUGUCCUCAUCUUUUUAUUCAACGGUUUGUUCUGCAUAUCUCAGUCUGAACAUCUCGACCUAUGGUUAAAUUUCUCAUCCUUGCUCCAGCGUGGAAUGCUUACUAUCUCUAGUCUUUUAACCGAUUCUCGUACAUGAACUGAUUCAUCUUUGUCCUGUUUGUUUGUUGCAGGGACUUGUUGUGCCAGUGAUUCGCAAUGCUGAGAAGAUGAAUUUUGCAGAUAUUGAGAAGGAGAUCAACACCCUUGCUAAGAAGGCUAAUGAUGGGACUAUUUCAAUAGAUGAGAUGGCAGGAGGUUCAUUUACGAUAUCGAACGGUGGUGUCUAUGGAAGCCUUUUAAGUACUCCGAUCAUCAACCCUCCUCAGGUUUGACUAGUAUUUUCUUUGUUAACUUGGAGAUAUUGCCCUAGCAAGUAAUCUGUUGAUGUUUGGUAUUUCGGUUUGGCAGUCAGCGAUAUUGGGAAUGCACUCAAUAGUGAGCCGGCCAAUGGUAGUUGGGGGCUGCGGGGGGCCAAGGGCCACGGUGUACACUUCCUUGCGCCAAGGCCAAUGAUGUACAUUGCUCUGACCUAUGACCAUAGGCUGAUUGAUGGGAGAGAGGCUGUUUUCUUCCUGCGUCGAAUCAAGGAUGUCGUCGAAGAUCCUCGCAGACUGCUUCUUGAUGUCUGAGAAGCAGAACUCAUAUUUCAAUUUUGGUGGUCUUUAAGAAGAAGAAGAAGAGUCCUAAGCUGUAUGGCUGCGUUUUGUUAGACAAGAAUAAGCAUCAGUCGGCAAUUGGAGUUUUGUAGGGUUCUGUUGGCUUAUUUCCCACGUAAAAUUUUGUUUCUCAAUCUGCUACCAACUAAUAAUUUCAAAUGUGCCUAUUCGAAACACUCCUUUGAUUAUAUAUUGCAGUUCAUGCAAUUCCCUCCCUCCAUCAUCUUCUUUGCUUCCCUCUUUGCAUAAUGUUUCACUCUCUAAAUCCGCAACCACUAGGUAAAAUUAUUGUCUAACAGAUCCACUGCCGCCGUUUUAGGAAAGCAGUAAACGCGAACUCUCCUCACUGAGAGUCACCGCGGUGGCAACACCACCACCAAUCUAACAGAUUCGCCUCCGCUUUCUCCAGAUUUUGCAUUCGCUCUACCUUCAUGUCGCACUGCAUUUAAUUUGUCGGAGUGGGCAGGAGCGUGCAUUGCCUCCAUAGCUUGCUCGACGGCACCAGAGACGAAAGCUCCCAUUGUAUACGCCGGAUUUUUGGGGUUGGGGGUACAGACUAGAAGUUGAAGCGUUGUGAGCUUAGUGAAAUUGGAGGUCGUAUUUUGUCCAAUUUACCCCCGCGUUUUCCCUAACCAUUAGAUCAGAUUAAUGGAUUUGGACGGUUGAGAUUUAUCUUUGAAGAUCUUGAAAUCUAUAUUCUUGAUUUAAGCUGAGAGCCUUUUCCCAAGACUAAAAAGCUCUAAGCUCAGCAUUUGACCAGUUGUUUACGCGAGCCUCCACGGCUCUCCUCUACUUCCGACGAGUAAAGUAGCGAUUUCAGUUUUCCCGUCGUGGAAAAAAAAAGAGUAAGUAUUCAUCUUUUCCCGUCUGCUCCAUUUUCCUUCUUCUUUUAUGUUCAUUGUACGUACUGGGAUUUAAGAAUGCCGAGCAACUGGAAGUCUGCAAGAAAUGGGAGACCUAGUUGAAUCUUGCUCAUAUCUGUAAAUUUUAACAUGUGAGCAAGAGAAAGUUUGAUUAGACUUCUAGGUUUGUAACUGUACUUGUUUUUCCUUUUUUUUAAAACUCUAUUUGUGUAUUUGUUCGCCUGUUCUGACUUCUGCUUAGCUCACAGGGAAAAGACAAUUUUUUGUUUCUAAACCUUUCUUUAUGAAAUCUAUCGCUUUGAUAUAUAUGCCUAUCUUUGUUCUGAGAAGAGAUACUUGUAAGUUGGAAAUUAUUUUAAAAAGUUCGAAUCUAUUACAGUGUUCGAAAGCAAAUUCAGAAUCUCUUGCUACUUUUGGAGAUAUGGGUUAAUGGUUUUAGUUUGAUACUGGAGCUUCAAGAUUCAUGGUAACUGUAUUUGUUCAUAUGUAAUAUCUGUUGCAACUUCUUGGUCUUGUUAAGGGAACUAACAUCAUGUUCAUGCUUGAAGACCUUGUCUGCUUUCUUUCUUUGAUUUUGUUGAGUUUCAUAGCAGGGAUUCCAUUGGCUUUUAAUGUCUUAUCAUCAGGUUAGGACGUGGAGAUAUGAAGGGUAAACAACCGGAAACUAGCAGAAGGAACGAUGGAAAGGGACGUGGGGAAAGGGUUGUUGCCGAGCUCUCGGAAGGAAAGCCUGAGCCUGGAGAUGUGAUUUGGACCAAACUCUCUGGUCGUUUAUGGUGGCCUGCACUGGUCGCGGAAGAAAAUGCCAGUACAGGAAAUAAACGUCGAAGAAGAUCAGACAGUGAUGUUCUUGUAAGAUUGUAUGGAAGCUCUGAACAGCUGUAUGUUGAUCCUAUGAAAUAUCGAUCCCAGUUUGAGACAAUACUUGGACAAAACAACGGUUCUUGUCAUGAGAUUCUCUGGAAGUCUGUCCUCAAGGAGCUUCCUCAUCUAGAGCCUGAUAGUUUGAAAGGAUGCAGAGGGAAAGCUGAUUCCUCCAAACGUAAGAAGUCAAACCGUGAUGAAGUCAAAGAGAAAACAACUACCUCAAAUGAUGACGUGACGGCUUCAACGAAACAAAAGAACACACCACAAAAGAAGAAAGUGAAGGCUGAUGACCGAAGUGAUGAAGACAGAAGAGCAGUGCAACAAGAUAAGGUUGGAGAGCUGACUCCGCGGAGAGUAAAAGUGAUGCAAACUCUUGGUCUGGUUCCUCCUUCUGGAUCUCCAUUCUGAAAGCUUCCAAAUGGAGUUAGGUUUCAGAGUAGCAAUUUUGGUUGGUAGCAUGCUAUCUGAGUCCAUUCAUGUCUCACUAAUCAUGGGGUAUCAACAAUUGUUUUUACUCCUUUUUGGGUUCCUUAUCUUUCUAGAUUGCAGUACAAAUUUCAUAUGUUCAUGAUGUGGAGAUUUCAGAUCUAUUGUUGCAUGAUGUAUUAUGCGUUGAUGUCUCGAAUCUCGUUACUCCUUUUUCUAGCAACUAGAGAUUUAAAUCGUCCGAGGGUUAUGCUCAUCCUGAAAGUAGAUUAUUCAAUCUUGAUGUCGUUUGACAGUGAGCUGGAGAUUUCUGAUUUAUGUUUUGUCAAUAAUCUAUGCAUUUCUCUUCUACAUCAAUAGACUUCCGAUCUUCGAUAGACACUUUUCACUGUUGCUGUUCCGCCAUGGCCACCAGUGAUUAAUUGUUGAAGAGUGCAACCAUGGCAAGGGACACAGUGAGUAAUUGUUGAAGAGUGCAACCAUUGCAAGGGACACACUGAUUAAUUGUCGAAGAGUGAAAUUUCCGAAGAUGGUGACCUCCAAUCUUCUUGGAAGGUCAUUGCAGGUUUUGCUGGGAACAUUGCGAUUUGUGGCUUACAGAGUUCUUCGGCCUUGUGGUCCCAUAGAGUCUCUGCACUGUGUUGCAAAAUGCUUCCAUAUAGAUCAGUCAAAAAGAUCAAAAUCUAGUUUAAUGGUUUAAGGUUAUGUCUGAGAAUUACGGAACACUAAGGAAAAUGCUACAAAAAAUUAUUUUUGCAGUAGCCUUUUCCUCCCGAAUUUUUUAAGUUCAAUCAAAAUGUUCCCGCCUUUAUUUGAGUAAUCUUCAUUACAAAAUUUUAGCAAUUGUUAAAGUGAUGUAGGUGGUAAAAUAUCAUCUAAUUAGCAUUUAUUAAAGAUAUACAUAAGUAAGAUAAAUUAGUAAACUUUUUAAAUUAAAAAAUCAAUUAACAAUGCAUAGGCAAAUGAACCAUUUUAAAAAAAAAUUAACAUUUAUGAUUAGGAUUUAUAUUAUUAUUGGUGGAAAAAUAUUGUUAAUGAAGACAUCAAAUGGUGAAUAGAAAUUGCUAAAAAAAUUAGUGAUGAAAAUGGGUGAAAAUUAUUUAUUAAAUAAAAUUUUAAAUUUGUUAAUGUGGCCAUGUAAACACAAUUAAAAAUUUCUAAAUAAAUUUUGGGAUGGAGGUCUGAGUUGUCAAGAUCUUGGCGCUAAAUGAUUUCUGCAACAACUCACACCCUAACUUCAAUCCCUUCCUUCAACAAGUGUUCUUUAACUGACCCAAUCGGCACCUGAAAACAUAAAAAGAGGGGCCAGAGAGGUCACAACCAUAAUGAUGGAGAGUUCGAUCCUAGGCCAAUAUUUCUCGUAAUAAGCUCAAAUGUUGUGACAUACUAGAGUAUUACUCCGAAAAGGAAACAGUUGGUUUAUGUCAUUUACCUCUUUCCUGUGGAAAAUGCCAGCCGCCAAGGCUGCAGAUGCAUUGGUUUUCUCGAAUACCUCCGAGAAGUGCUCCACAUUGCCUGCACCACUACUAGCAAUCACCGGGAUGCUCACAGCAUCAGAUAUCAAAUGUAUCAGAUCUAUGUCAAACCCUUUUCCUUGUCCUGUAACACAUUUGCCAAUUGAAAUAAAAUAGGGAUCCUCCGGUUUUGGAUCCAUAGUAUGCAAUCUAAUGAAGCAUUAGGGGUACUAACCAUCGCAGUCAAUGCAAUUCAACAGUAUCUCCCCAGCUCCCAGUUCUUCAACUGCCUGUGCAAGUUCAUAUGCUCCGAUCGGACGACCUUCUCUACCACCACUAACCUUUAAGAAACCAGACCUCAAAACGCGUGAGGAACACUUCGGGAUGAACCAAUAUAGCGAGACAAAAAGCACAGCCAUAUUCUAAGCAUACCGUGCAUUGGUACCACGCGAAUUCUUCCCCGUUUGGACCUGUAAACAUUGCUUUUACUACUCAAAUCAGUUGUAUGAUAAUACAAAUGGAUGCAGCACCUUACUAGGACCUCUUAUUUUUAGGUCCAUAUAUGGAGUUGCGGGAUUAUAAAUAUCUUCUAGUGGUUAUUAAUAUGUUUUUCGUUAGCUAAUAUCUACAAGAGGCAGUUAGCAAUCAAGUGAAAUUCGAAACUGGGAUGCAGAUUUCAUCACCUGGGGUUGUUAACUUUACAGCCUUGAACUCUACAUCUUUAGGACUACUAAGGUACACCCUACGAGGAUCAAUGCUUACAACCACAGCCUGCAGAAAUAACAAUAAGCUCAAAUAUUACAGUCUAGACUAUGUUUUUACUGGUCCUGUAAUUUUCACUUCUUUCGGUCGAACUUCAUUGUUAUUAUCAAGGUGGACAAAUUUUUGAGUUGACAGAACUCCCAUAUCACAGAUAAGAAAUGUUAGCAAAAAGAAGAAUCAAAAGUUACCGUGCAUUCAAAGCCAGAGAGCACAUUACCUGAUUUCCAUAAACUCUAGAUAUCUGUUCAAUACUACUAUUUCCAGUCUUGACCUACAGAACGAUGAAAGAAGAUUUAAGGGAUCCAGAAACACAUUCACAUAUGCACGAAAAUAGUUUGAAACGUAAAAUCAGGCGAGAUAUCCUACUUUAGUUCUUAAAUAUUCCUCUGCAGCAUAAACAGCAUCACUUCCAAUCGAAAUCUUAUCAGCUCCAGACCUGAAAUAUUCUGAAGCUACUUCCAAACUGGAGUAGUGCCUGAACAAGGAAAAGAGUAAAGUCUCAAGGUAAAGUACAUAGCUUGAAGAUUGGACAUCCAGGAAGUCAGUUCUAAACAUCAUUUUCCAAAAAGAAAAAAUACCUGUCAUUAGAAUCUGUGAAAUCUCUAAUGCCGCCUCCAACAGUCAAGGGUACAAAGACAUUUUCAGAAGUGUACCUCAGGACCUGACAACACAUGAAGUGACUAAGUUUAGAAGGCCAUUGAAACGCUUCAGGGAAGAAUAAAGAAAAAAAAACCAAACCUGCAGCAUUGGCAAAUCGCCCAAGGGGAAAUCGCGGAAGCCAGUGAUGUUUAAGAAAGUAACCUGAUUUUUAACACAGAGGUAAGAACUGAAGUUGUAGGAGAGUAAUUAACAAACUCUAUAUAAUUAGUUAAACUACAACCUCAUCUGCACCGUCUAGGUAGUACUGCCCAGCAAGCUCUACUGGCUUCCCCAGGUUUCUCACCUAAACAUUGCCACCAAAUAUCGGAUUAAGUGAUUUAAAAUCUCGAAUAGAUGCAUGCCAAUUUCACGGUGAACUGUUUCUUUAGGCUUCAUGAGUUAAAUAGCAAGAGAAAGCACAACAGCACUUAAAGUGUUUCCCAAGUUAAUUAACAAGAUGAUACAUAAUGAACUUCACAGUGUAAUCACUGUGGAUCAGCUCUAAUUUUGUCAGAAAAUCGCCCUCAAUAGAACAACAAUUGGCACAUCAUGAGAAAUAUAGAUGCAGGUAUUUAAAUCUAUAUAUUUGCGAGCCACAACAUGCUCAGGUUUGUUCUUAAUCUGAUCAAAUAACAAUUCCGUGAAAUAGCACAUACCUCGUUUUCUUCUGUCUGCUCCCUGACAUCGUACUGGUCUCCUUUGGUUACGACGAGGUCUCCUUCGUCAUUUGUCCUCACGUCAAGACAAGCAAUUACCUGAAGUAUGAUCAUACGAAAAUUGAUGCAAUUGACUAGAAGUAUGGCAGCCAGACUAUUGAGUGUUUUACUGUCUCCAAAUCAUCUCGACAGAAACUAGUUGAACAAAAUUAUUACCCUUUUUGCUAGUUUCGAAGCCUUCCCUUGAUUUAGCUUCUGUCUUCAAAAAAAGUUUCACUGAAUUAGAUGGAUAUUCAAGAUGGCCAAUUAGAGAUGCACUGAAUAUUAACAUCAGUGCACUACCUGCGGUGGAACUGAUUUUGGAAGUAAGAACCUUCUAAGUACUGAAAGGCCAACAUCUGCAAAUAUAAUUGAGCUAUUAUUGUAAAGCCAACAACUCCCACCAUAUCCAUUUCUGACGAUCACUUGCCAAGUCGAACACUUAAGGGAAGAAAUACAGAACAGCCAAAAUUGUAACCUCCACUCUUCUCUGGAUGGAACUGAACAGCAUGGACAUUUCCCUUUCUGAUGGAUGCUAUAAAUGUGUCACCAUAAUCACAAGUAGAGGAAAUCCAUUCUUUAUUUUCCUCUGACUGGCAAAGCAUAAGGAUUGGUUUAAGUGCUAACAUGAGAUACAAUGAGAGAUAAACAUUACAUUAUUUGAAAAGAGACACCCUAGCUAAUGGUAUCCGUAAAAGAAUAGGAACUUACUGGCAUUGCACGGUAAGAGUGGACAAAGUAUACAUGGCGGUUGCCAAUUUCAUCCAAAAUCUCGGACUCUUUAGCAAUUUGCAAAGCAUCCCAACCAAUGUGAGGCACUCUGAAGCCAUUUGAUGAAUCGAAUUUCCCAACCACACCAGGGAUCAAGCCAAGACCAGUAACUGAGCUCAAGUAUUCAAGCAGCCAAUAAAUGUUAAAAGCUGACCAACAAUAGAGAAAAAGCCAUAUGCAAUGCUAAAUGUAGUUGAUAUGAUGGCUUGCUCUUGCUACAAACAAGAGGUAGUAUCAACCAACUCUCUCAUAGAUAAACACGCAUGUAAGUGUUGCAAAGGAAUACAUUUCGAAACGGGUCGAAUGAUAUCAUAUCCAUGUGAAAGUAACAAUAAGCAAGAACGUCAAGAAGCCUGACCUGGACCAUUCUCAGUGCUGGACUCGAAAAGCAGUUGAAGUCCAAGACAAAUUCCCAGAAAUGGCCGGUCCUUCUCAAUGUAUGUACAUAGAGCUUCAGCCAUUCUGCAGAAAUUAAUCAGACACACAAACUUAAUUGAUUAAAGGUCUCAACUUUCACACACAACCCACUAGAUUAAAGGUCUAAACUUUCACACACUGCCUACCCAGUUUUAUUAAGCACAUCCAUGGCUGGUGCAAAUGCCCCAACACCUGGGAAAAUAAGGCGGCUUGCAUUCAGAAUGUCUGCUGGAGUUUGCACCUAAAAUGAUUAUUUUCAAUUCUCUGUUAAGUUAAUUUGGCUUUGAGGAGAAAGAAAGAGAAGCAAUCAAUUGACUCACGUCUUUAAUCUGGAAGCCCAGAUGGUGAAUGGCGUUUCUGACACUACGGACAUUGCCAGCUCCGUAAUCCAGCAGAGUGACAACUUCGAAUGGAUUAAAAAGCAUAAAAAAAAAUUAAAAAAGCGAGCUCAAUCAGAAGAAAAAAAAAGACAGAAGCUUUUGAGUUGGGAUUUCAUCCGUGGAUGGUGGAAAGAGCGUACCGGAAUCGCUGGAAGAGGCACGAACAGUGAGAUUUCUUCUUGAGGAGGAUUUGAAGUGUGCCUGCAGCUGAGUUUUGCGGAAAUCCUUCGAAAGAGAAAGAAGGGAGGAUGAAGAUGAUAAAGACGAAGUAUUGGCCAGCCUUGAGGAAGAAGAAGAAGGAGUAGUAGUAGUAGACGAAGAGAAUGGCGACGGCGCCGCCAUUGCAGACAGCAGAGGAAGCCGAGACAAUAUUUUGUUUGAGUUGAGAGUUUUGCAGUUUCUUUCAGGAAUGAGGAACACGCAUGAGGUAAUUCACUUCUCACUCCGGGCAAAUACUGUAUCGUAUUUGGGUUGGGUUGGGCCAGUCACAUUGGGUUACGGGUUGAUCGAGUGACGAGUUAGUCGAGCUAUGGGUGGAUCGAGUCACGGGAGAUGAUAGGGUCACAGGUUAGUCGGGUUGUGAAUUGGGGUGGUUAACUUUUUAGUCAGUCAGGUCAUAUGUUUGAUCGGACUGGGCAAGAGGGUUCAGGUCGAGUCAGGCUUUUGCCAGCUCUAUCAUUCGGGUUGGGUUGGAUUAGACGGGUCGCGGAUUAGCUGGGUUAUAGUUUUAUGUGGUCACAGGUUUAUUGGGUCAUGAGUUCGUCGCGUCAUGGGUUAAUUAGAUCGCGAGUUACUCAGAUAAUUAGUUCAACGGAUUACAGGUUAGUUGGGUUGUGACUUGUGAGUUGCGGGUGCAAGUUUUUGACCUUUUGGUUAGUCGGGUAGGCAGGCAGGCAGGCUAAUUGACUCAAGUCAGGCUUUUGCAAUCUCUACUGAAUAUUGGAACACUCCUACAUUCAAACCCACCAAAUUGGCGCCUACUUCUCCAACUAAUCCGGCUCGUACGUUGCUGGUCAGGAUCCAGCAUCAGUUCUGCCUUGACAACGACGAGUAUCAGUCUGAAUUUAUUGCGCACUAGUGCAAAUCAAAUGCGUGCAAGUACGUUUCCGAAAUCCGAAACAGAGAUGGCAGCAUCAAUAACAACGGUGGUGUCACUGGAUGCAGGGCUAGGUCGACAGUGCUAGCAGACAGCCCAUUUUCAGACUUUUAGCAAAUUUUGCUAUGUAAGAACUAGAGGCAAAGCAGGAACAACCAAUAUAAAUGGUGAAAUUGUUAAACUCAGCAGUCUUUAUUGGUCCAAGAAAGAUGUGGAACAUAUUUUGGUCAGUCUUGUCUUUUCAAAGGCAUAUACAACACUGAUGGAGAGUGUCUGUCUUACUCUUAAACCCAGCAACAUACUUUCUACGAACCCAAUAUACGAUAAUCAGUCUGUCUGACUAGGCUGCUUCUGCGAAUCCAAUCCUGAGGUUACCGUAGUCAAACACCGUGUGAUAGCGUCCCAUGAACACAUCGCCGAGAAUCCUGCAAUUUUCCAUCCAAUCCACCCCACCCAUUUCAGUUAGAUAUAGAAACUCCCACCAUAACCGGAAGAAGGACCGGUAUAGACAAACACUUACCAGAGUGGACCACGUGGCGGUGGCACAUCGAUCGCUGUAAACCCACUAAUGCAUUGAGCAGCAGACCCCUCUCCAACUUUGAGUACAUACUGAUUUCCAAACACAAUAGAAACCGUUAGUCCAGGUGCCGUGUCGUGUGAAGUAAAUCAAUAUCAGCUGUAAGCUACUAAAUAGGGAGCAUCACAGCGUCAUGGCAAGAUGUUCAAUGAAUUACCUGUUCGGGAGCAAGGUCAAAGACCUUCCCGCCAAUAGUAAAUGAAACGUUAGGCAUGGUUGACAUGCUGCCACAAUCGACCGACGAUUCUCCCAUUGGACUAGGCAAUCGAUCACACAGCUGCAAGAACAGGUGGGAGGAUGGGUAAACCACAAUUCUAACUUACUACACUCUCUACUUAUGCUUGGUUGUGUUCCUGAGGGAAAGAGACUUAAAAAAGAAAAUGGAGCUUGAUUGUCUUACGUCAUUUGCAUAGUCAAUUACGUGCUGCUGCGUUUCAUUCUGCUUAAGCUUGUUCUGCAUCCAGACAACGGCCAUCUCACAAGCAGCGCAUGUUGCCUCACUAGAAGUGCCAACUGCUUUCUCAAUGUUCUUCACAACACUCUCAAUACCCAUACUGUGGGUGAAGUUAAAACACAACGGAACAAAGCACUGUUAGCAGCUAAAGUUCUAUAAAAACAAUCCUCAAAAAGGAAAGGGUACCAGAUACAGCAAAACACGCACCUAACACCUUGCGUCCCAUCAAAUUCACACAAACCAAUCUGAGAGCAGAUCUUUUUCGGUUCGUCCUGCCAUAUAUCAUAAAAUUAAUUCUCAAUUCGAGCAACAAACCAUGUCUAUAUUGAAAAACGGUUGACUAAUGGAUCACUCGCAAAGUCACAAGGAAAAUUGUACCUUUGCUAAAAUCAUCUUAAUUAUAGUUUCUCCAUAUUGAGCAACUCCGGCCUUACAUUCUUGGCUGGCUACCCCAGUAGCACCAAUGGCAUGGUUAACUUCUGCAAUAAUUGCCUGCAUUGAAUCAUAAAACUUCAGCAUGAUUUUGAAGCCCAUCCCAAAAUCUGAAGCCAGAAAUUCGACACCAGAGACAGCACACAGAAUAAUCAACCUCAUAUAGAAACAUGGAGUGAAAAAUCUAAAGCAACAACCACAAAUUCAGUGUCAGAGAUAGCACAAAGAAUAAUCAACCUCGUUGAACGACAUGUAGCUCAAAACUUGUUAAACACACCGACAAGGUUCCAGAAUCGGCAAUCGCUGCACAACCACCAGAGCAGAAUCCUGGAAACAGGAAAUAAAAUCAAGACUGAGAAGACUGAGCAGAUUCAUUCUUGCUACCAAGUCGUUACCUACAAAAAAAUCUCACCAGUAGAUUUUCCAUCAACCAGAACAUCGCCCAUAUCAAACUGUCAAUCAGGAAAAAGAACUCUUACGUCUCAAGACUAAAAAAUUAGUAAAUUCUAACACAAGAAGCGCCUAACCAAUACCUGCCAGUACCCUUUCUGUGUCACAGGCACAUAUGUGUGCUCACCAACAAAGUGAUUAGGAUCCACACCACCAAAGACAAGUUCACCCCCUUGUUCCUCGUCAGCAUUGCGGUUAAACCAAAAGGAAAAUACAGGCUCCUUGAUGAGUCCUUGGUCGACCAUGUUGUACCUGAAGCAAUUCAAAAUUUGAGAUAAUUACAAAACUCAGAUUCUGGACCAAUCAGCUCUGAUUUACCAGUUGAAAAGAAUAUCAGGCUAAACAGCAAUUAUAUACCACACAGGGACAGCAUUUCCCACAGAAAUUUCCUGAAAUCCAAGCCCAAGUAUUCCAUCAAACUUAGCCACCAAGAAUGUGAUGCUUGGCUCCUUUGUUGCUUCAAUAAAUUCCUGGAACAAAUAAAUUGUAUCAACAUAUCUAACUAAGAGCACAACAUACAUUCAUAAUAUAAACCCCAAAAAAUAACAUCUAGUAACCUGGCUCUUGACAACAAUAUCACCAACUUUUACACUAUCCUCGCUGAAGAAGCCAGAAAUAGCUCCAGUUCCAUACUGGAUAGCAGCAGAUUUACCUGCACAAUAACAUAUGUUGGGAAGCCUUCUCAGAGAAAAGAAUAAUCUAAAUUAUUGAACAUUAGUAGCAAACAGGAACUUCGAAAUUGCCAAUGUAAAAUUUACUCUUGUUGACUCUGCUGAUAGACAUGUCAGCUAAAACCAGCAAAGCAUAAGAACUCAUUAACAUAUAAAAUCCAGGUAAACUAACCGCUUAAAUAUAUGCUUCCUAGAGAAGAGUCUUCCAAGAAAUGGUUAUAGUUCAUUAUCAGGAUUCAUGGUGCUGAAUUGAUAAAUAGCUUCAAUCUUAAAUAUUUCUCAUUUGAUUGUUUUGUUACCGCAUAUUCAAGUAAAAGUGUUUUAUGUAAUAGUACUACUUAUUUUGGACUAGGAGAAGUAUUUCUUCCAUGAAGGUAUUAUCAUUAACUGUUUCUUAGUAUCAUUAUUAGUUGUUUUUUACUCAUUUCCUAGUAGUAGGAGUCCCUUCGUUUCACUAUAUAAAGAGACUAUGAAGUUCAAUUUUGAAGGAUGAGAUUUUGAUCAGAUAUGAAUAAGAGCUGUCAGAGUUGAUGCAAGAAUUAUUCUUGAGUUUCCUUUGGCUUAUCAAGCAUCAAAUCCAAGUUGCGGUGGUUCCACACCUAUCAGACCUUAUCAUCGACAGGUCUGAUGAUUCUUCCUCUAUCCUAUCUACUAAAACCUCUAUUUUCCAUAAUUAUUUCAAAAAUCCAGCAGCCCUAUUUCAUCUAAUUGACAUCACAGCAAUGUCAAACGCAUCACCAACAGCAUGGAGACAACUCAUGUAUUGGCACAAGAAUCAUCAAAAACUCAACACCAAAACUUAUCCAAAAACGGGGAGAAAGUGAUCAAAGAUGAGCGGACAAACCAUUCUUCUUGUAAGUACUUGAACGACUUGACUUGUACUUGGAGUGGAAAUAGCAAGCAAGCUUCAGAAACAAAUAGAAUUAAAUCAACCCAACGACAUAACAGGUGGAAUCAUCUGCUGUUAGCAGUCAAGUAGCAAAUCGAGAUCGGUUCACUUACCGAGAAAUAGCACUUGGAAGAGGGCACCCACAGAUUAGAACUACCAGUAUCAAAUAUCACAGUGAACGUUUGCGGGGGAGUGCCAAUACCAAUCUCACCAAAGUACUGAGCAUCCAUAUAGUUCUUGAGAGUUACAAUGUCCGUGUCUGCAGCAUCUCCCAGAUUCCCACUGAAGUGGUACUUUCUAAUAGCAGCAUUCAAUAGCUCUCCUUCUUUGGACCCCAACUUAGCAGCGACAAGGUUGUUCUGAUCAACCUUUCUCUUCUUGAUUCCGAUUCUAACAAGCCCAUCGUUGGAUGCAGCAAAAACCAGAGGCAGCAGAAGGCAAAUCAAAAAAGCAGCUGUGAUAUUCCUAUGGCUGGAAAACGUCCCCAUGCUUGCAACUGUUGGGAAAGAAAGAUUUGAUCGCAUCAACUAUAUACAGAAUACUCUCUAUGAAAGAGAUUAGGGAGAUCGGCUGCAAAUGAGAAAAUAUUCGAAGAUAAAAAGAAAAAGUCGAGAUAAUAGAAUAUGACGGCGUAAAAUAGCUAUCAACUACUGAUCAACGCGAUUGACAGGGAGAAACGAAGAACAAACAACGAGAUGCAAACGCAAAUCAUCUGAAAUUUCAGCUGAUUCGAAGGUAGGAUUAAAACAUCAAUCUGACAGUGAAGUUUUUGGCAAGUCAAACCUCUCACUCAACACACCGAAAUUUACUCCACUCGCAGUAGAAACAGCAACUAUCAAUGGCUACGAUAAUCAAUCGGAAAAGCAAACGACACUGUUAACGAAGCAAAAACCCGGGAAACACAUCGAUUAUGAGGAGUGAACACUCACAGGUGGGCGAUGAUCGAGAGGAGAAGGAACAGCUGAGUGAGCUAACAGAGAUGAGUCUGGAAUGAAAUGACACAAACCAGGUGGGGUUAGUUGAGCUGAAUAAUAUUCGUCGCCUGGAAUUAGAAAAAAGUGUAUUUACGUAAGUGCCCUUCGCUUUUAAUAUUUUUUUAUGAAUCUUUUAAAAUUUUAGGUCAUGUAUGAUUUUGUAUUUUGAGAAAAAAUGAUUGUUUUUUAAAUCGCGUAUUUAUAUAUUUUAAACUUUUGUUUGAAAGCUGUUUAUAUAGUUAAGUUUUGGGCAAAAUUAUAUUAUUUUUGGUUUAAUUAUUAUAAUAUUUGUAUUUAUUUCUAAAUAAUUAGUAGUUAAUCUUAUAAAGAUAAGAAGAGCAUACAAAAUUUAAAAUAAUAAUAUGAUCUUCUUAUCGCUUAUCAAAACACCGAGGCAAAAUUGGUUGGUGUUCGUUCCUCUUUUAUGUUUCGGAACAAGAUAAAGCAUCAUCCAAACAAGCUUAUUGGCCAAUUUUAUAAUUAUCUACUGUCAAUCACCAUGGGGAGCCAUAAUAAUUUGGAGCACUAUAACGAAUUGUAUUGAAUUUGAAAAGCACUAGGUCACGAAUGAAAAUUUUAAUAAUUCUUCUCAAAAUACAAAAAAAAUUAUAUAAUAUUAGAGCUCAAAAUUCAGAAAUACACCGGGCCCUAACCUAAAAGAGGCUCCCGCUAAAUCCAAUUAAAUUCUAACAAUAUCAAACAAAUUCACUUCAAUUCUUCAUUCAACCGAGAGAAUAUUACAAAUUACCGGAACAAUCACAUCGUUAGCAAUGCAGAAACACAUAAAAUUCUAUAGCUCGUAAGCAAUAGACAAAAAUUUCAUUGCAUCACCUUCAAAUGAACCGUCAUAUUUAACGGAAAAAUGGAUGAGUAGAGUCGUAUUGGCGUAAUAAAAAAGUUGAAUGGUUUAUUUACAUUAUUAAAAUAAUCAAGUAGCUGCUUCCUCCAUUUUUAUUGAGCCAAAAUUUUCUUCCGACAGCAAACACCCCAUCAUAGAGCUCUGCCAUUCGUCUCUUGUCAGAAAGCUCUCUGCAUUACAUUACAACAUCUUUUUCCUUCACGCAAUCACUCACUCACACAUCACCAGUCCCCACGACCACGACCCAUUCUGUUCUCUCUCUCUCUCUCGCUCUCUCUGGCUCGAACUCCAACAGUCCAAGGUCCCCCCUCCCUCAUCUUGCUUUGGUGAAAAUGAUGGCUGAUUAUUGAGCCCAGCAGGAGCAAUGAAGGUCCCCGCCGUGGAACAGCAUUCAUCGGCGGCAGGAGCUGGGGGAACUUCUGUUCUUACUUCAAAGGAGUUCAAUCAGAACCCACAUCAGCAAAAUCCAGAUUCAGAUCUCGCCUGGCCACCACGGCGCAGGACCCGGUCUAAGCGGGUCGGACCUUCGGUAGGGCAUCGUAGCCGACCCGAGACGCCUAUGCUGCAAUGGAAAGUUGAGGGAAAUGUCGGAGCGGAGGAGGUCGACGAGGAUACUGCGGCGGUGGAUGCGGCGGACGACAAGCAGAGGAAGAGUAAAGAUGAUGGAAGGAGAGGGAGGAGGCAGAAGAGCAGUGUGAGUAACUUGGUUUCUGCGAGGAAGCUUGCUGCUGGGCUGUGGAGGUUGCAGUCGCCGGUAGGCAGUGCUGCUGGCGGGGGGGGGGGGGGGGGAGGGGGGGGGGGGGAGGGGGGGGUGUGUGGGGUUUCAGUGGAGUUUUGGUGCUUACCUUGUGAAAUGUGCGACCUUUCCAUCUCUGGAUCUGACUGAGAAAUUUGUGAACUUUUUGACCGGUGGGAUUUUGAUCAUUAGAAUUUGACAUUUUGCCUUUCCGGUAUUUGUUCAGGAUGCUUGUUUGUUUUUGAGAUUUAUAUUUGUUGACCUCCAUUUUGGGGGAGUUUGACUAUCAUUAAGUUGUUUGGUGGCUCUUCAAUCCAUUUGUGCUUCUCUGUAGCUUUCCAUCAUUAACUCUAUAUACUUAAACAGAAGCUUGUUUAAUUUCAUUGCUACUCCUGUUUGUUGAUGUCUGUCCAGCCUGGUGCUGCUCAUGUUGGCGUCUCAUUUAUGCACCAUGAUAGUGAGAAAGUCUAUGGUUCAGAGUUUAACGAUCCAUUUCACAUCUCAACUUCCGCCUCUGCUACCAAGAACAACAAGUUGUUGUGCAAGGUAUGGUAUCCCUGAGAUUCCAGUUAACUGUAGUUUUCUUCUUAAUACUGAAAACAGUGAUGCAUGACGAUGGGGAAUUUCAUCUUGAUCUAUUGCUCUACCUGAAACAGAAGACAUUUAUGAUAAGAUUUGAUCUAGAACCAUGUUUCCUAGGAAAGUUGAAUUGAGAUGAGUGGAAUACCGGAAUGAAGUUGAGUUAAGGUUGAGAGAGCUUGUGGAAGGAAAGUUGAAUUAAGGGAUAUAAAUGAUUGUCCGGAAAGUUUAAUUUGAAUUUCCUAUAUGACUCUAUUAAACCAUCCAACCUCAACUCAACUUUCUUCAACCAUCCUCAAUUCAGCUUUCUUCGGAAACAUGAUUCUAGAUGCCAAAACUUAUCUAUAUAGAUCGAUUGUCAUAUGGGAAGAAGUAGAGGAGUAAAAUCUUAAUAGGAAUUUAAUGCUGCUUUGGGAAAAUCUUCUUCUAUAGUAGGAUGGCUAAGAUUUCUUCUCAUCCGACUACAAGUCGAGCAUAGAAGUGUUGAUUCAGAUGUUGCUAUCCUGAUCUUCAAGAUGUGAUAUUUUCUUUUCGAUCUUCCUUGGCCUUGGUUUCUAUCUAUCUAACUGUACUUGUUUCUUUCUUUCGUAGCACAAACCACCGUUCCAGUUUUCCAGCUCUGCAAUGGAGGGUUCAACUAAGUGGGAUCCUAUCUGCUCCAACACUUCGAACGCGGCAACACACCAAAUCCACAGCCACAUGAAACGUCUUGAUCAACAAGUUAGUACCGUAUCAGUGGUUACCGCCCUCGAAGCUGAGCUCAACAAAGCACGACUACGCAUCCACGAGCUCGAAACUGAACGACAAUCGUCAAAGAAGAAACUCGAGCACUUCCUGAAGAAAGUUAGCGAUGAAAGAACUGCAUGGAGGAGCAAAGAACACGAGAAAAUACGUGCAUUCGUCAAUGACAUCAAGGCUGACUUGAGCCGGGAAAGAAAAAACCGUCAAAGAUUGGAGAUUUUGAACUCGAAACUGGUGAAUGAACUAGCCGAUACAAAAGUAUCGGCCAAGAGACUGAUGCAGGACUAUGGAAAAGAAAGAAAGGCUCGAGAACUAAUAGAGGAAGUCUGUGACGAGCUUGCACGAGAAAUCGGAGACGACAAAGCUGAAAUCGAAGCGAUAACUAGGGAGAGUUUGAAAAUGAGGGAAGAAGUAGACGACGAAAGGAAGAUGUUGCAGAUGGCUGAGGUGUGGCGCGAAGAACGUGUCCAAAUGAAGCUGGUUGAUGCCAAAGUAGCCCUUGAGGAGAAGUAUUCUCAAAUGAACAUGCUUCUAGGAAACUUGGCCGACUUUUUAAAGUCGAAAGGUGAAGUUUCCGACAUGAAACAAGCAGAGUCGCUUAUGCAGGCUGCAGCAUCCAUUGAUAUGGAAGAGGUAAAGGAAUUCACAUACGAGCCCCCGAAUCAAGAUGAUAUAUUUGCUGUUCUGGAAGAGGUUAAUUCUGGUUUGCCAAAUGAGAGGGACAUUGAACAAUGUCAUGAUAAUACCUUCAGCCCUGCAAGUCACGGCUCGAAUAUGCAUACAGCGAGCCCCGAGGCCAAUUUCGACGAUGGAAGUGGUUGGGAAACUGUAAGCCAUCUUGACGAUCAAGGCUCGAGCUUUUCGCCAGAAGGAAGCGCUCCAUCCAUCAAUAAAGAACAUCAUCGGUACAGUAAUGUGUCAGGGAGUGGUGGAGAAUGGGAAGACAUCAUUUACAAGGAGACCCCUAUUAGUGAAGUCUGUGGUUCUACACGUAGUAGGCAGCAGGGUAAGAAAGUAUCAGCUAUUGCAAGGCUAUGGAAGGAUGGUGGAGACAGCUGCGAAACAAUUUCAGGUGAUGGAAUGAAUGGUAGGUUGUACAGUGGAAGGAAAUCUCGUGCAGGCAUUGUAUCGUCAGAUAAAGAGUGUAGCCCUUCUGGUCAGUGGAGUUCAGCAGAGUCAGGGAUCUCCCAGUUAAGUAGAGGAAUGAAAGGAUGCAUGGAAUGGCCGAAAGGGGCAGAGAAGCACAUUCCAAAGUCUAGGCUAAUGGAGUCCCAGAAACUUCAACUCCGACAUGUACUGAAGCAGAAGAUUUAGAGGGCUAGGCUAGGGGGAUCCAAACGACACUUGUUGAUUUUGAUCCAAAUAAUUGAGAAUUAAUUGUAUUUUCUAUUUGCAUAGAGUUUAGGGUUUGAUUUCCCACUGUUGUAAAUUAUUAUCAUUAGGGUCAAAUUGUAAGCUUCAUUCUCACCUUGGUCUUGGGUCUCUUCUGGUGUACAAGUGGAAUUUCGUUUCGCAGACAUGGUUCUUGGGUAGGGAUAUGAAUAUGGGUGGUAUCUAAAUCCAUCUCCGAUCCGUUCCCAUUCUCUUUUUUAACAUGUCCCAUAACCAAUAUGUUAGGAUAUUCCCCUUUUUCUCGAAUCAGAUAGGGUCAGAUACUCAAGAAUACCAAUAUUUUUGGUCCUGCCUACUCUGUGGAUACACUGUAAACGGUCAAACUUGAAUUUUGGCCACAAUAUAUAUUUCCAAUACGGGUCAGCCGUCAGCCACAUCAAGUUUCAGUUCCUCCAGCGGAAGCAACACUAGUUAAAUUAUAAUUUGUUACCUAAGAAAAAAAAAUCGCAAAAGUAUGGAGCUGGGAUAAUUUGGUUUGCUAUGCUCGUCCGGCCUCCUGCUGUUAGCUCUUAACAUGGAAUGAUUUGCUAGCGCGAGAGGCAAGAGCUAUUGCCUUGGCGUCAGUGCUACUCAUCAACAUCUCCCUCUCAGCACGACGUUGAUGCUGCCUCGCGUUCUUGGCUCGCUUGGGGGCCAACCGUGUGUCUCUCUCGACGAAUGCCAGCCUGAACCUUUCUGCUAUGGGCAGCUCAUUGAUGCUGCCUGAAGCUGUCGGGGGCACAGCUCUAGGUACAAUUCCACCCAAGGCCCAUGUUGUUGGAUUGAUGUCCUUCACAAACGGGCUGUCCAGUGAAAUAUCUGCAUAUGCUUCUAUCGGUACUUCAAUUCCACGAAAACCUAACCGUGAUGGCUUGGGGUUGACUAUAAUGCGCGGGCACUCGGUGGCUAAGAUUUCUAGCGAGUCUUUAUCGAUAUUCGGCUGCAAAAAUAGCAAGGGAAAGCAGUGCAUAAAAGACAGGCAGUACAGAGAGGACGAGGACUACCGAAUCUAGUUUUCGAAGUAAAGCAGUAGAAGUUGUUUAAAUAGAGAAUUGACAGCAACGUCAUGUGUCAAUUGUACAUGAACAGGAAGAAGCUGAUAUAUUGAAGAAAACUCAUAUGAUGUUGGCACGAGAACGAAAGAGGGAAGGACAGCGACUCCUUACCCAAACAAGCCACCGAAGGGAUUCUGCACCAUUACCAAUCUCGGUCGCAUCAAGUUCCUCCCACGAAUCUUCAUUUAGAUCCAUCAGCUUAGGCUUGAACAAGCCCAAGCAACCACGUGCAGUGUAAUUGCUCCUUGGGCAUCCUCUGCAACAUUAAUUUUGGUUCAAUCCUGCUAUGGUUUGAUGUAACCCAGUUAACAUCCAAACCCUCAGCUAAAUAAUUAAGUGCCACUAUGCAAAAAGCAGAAACCACUGAAAAAAAACAAGCCCUUUGAAUAUCGAAAAGCUCGGUUAAUACCACAAGUUUCAGCAAGUAUAUCUGAUUCUCGAAUCAGUCUAACCAACUAAGUUUUUUUUUUAAC